rnacentral:rRNA from 1 species
UGGGGAAUCUUGCACAAUAGGGGAAACCCUGAUGCAGCGACGCCGCGUGAACGAUGAAGCCCUUCGGGGUGUAAAGUUCUUUCGACAGGAACGAUAAUGACGGUACCUGGAGAAGAAGCUGCGGCUAACUACGUGCCAGCAGCCGCGGUAAUACGUAGGCAGCGGGCGUUGUUCGGAGUUACUGGGCGUAAAGAGUGCGUAGGCGGCGAGCCAAGUUUGGUGUGAAAUCUCCCGGCUUAACCGGGAGGGUGCGCCGAAAACUGGUUGGCUGGAGUAUGGGAGAGGAAAGCGGAAUUCCUGGUGUAGCGGUGAAAUGCGUAGAUAUCAGGAGGAACACCUGCGGUGUAGACAGCUUUCUGGACCAAAACUGACGCUGAGGCACGAAAGCGUGGG